rnacentral:lncRNA from 1 species
CUGACCAUCUCCUCUGAGCCAAUGCUCUCAGUGUUCCAAACUCAUUAACCAAAUUCUCCCCAUGAAUGCCUUGAAACUUGCCAGGCUUUUCUCCCAGGAUCUGGGAAAGCGUGGGAUCACCCCCUGGCCUUUGGAUCCUCCCCAUAUACUUUCUAACUCUUUGGGGGGGAGGACAGGGAUGGGACCUCUGGCCCCAGCUUGUUAGUCACCCACUACAAUCAACUGCCAAAGGUGCUACUGUGUCCCCAGAAUCCAGUGGGAGAGACCCAAGCCUCUUUUUGCUGAGGAAUUUGUUGCCAUCCAUCCUUGGGAGCCAUUUGGGAAUUGUGAGAAGGAAGGCCAAAGGAGACCAGGAGCCUUGUUCUGCAUCGAAGCUCCUGAGGGCUCUGUGGCACCCCAUCAUGUGAUUGGUUAACUAUCUGCUUCCUUUUUCCUUUCCUUUUAUUGUCUCUCUACUCCCUCGUCUCCAUUUUCUUCCCCUCUAUUCCUUUUUAUUACUGUCAUAGACACAUAGGUGCUUGGAGAAAGGAAGGACCCAGAGCUUGGGCCAAUCUACUUCAUUUUGGCCCAGACCAUCCCUAAUAUUAGCAUUAAUACUGCUCACCUCAGGCUGAGCUACAUCUCACUUCUGGGCUCGAACUGAUACAGACUGGAAGAGCAGACUAUCACAUAGGGAUAGGACCUUAAACACUAAAGAGUUCCAUGUCCCACUCACUGAUUUUGACAGAUUAACCAAGAGGCCUUUCCAGGUUCCCAUCCUCGUAGCCACCUGUCAAAUGUGAAGAAACUCCUCUCAUCUCAUCAAACACAGGAGGAAUGAUGACAGUGAACUGGCACUGGAGAAGGUGCUAUGGUUGACGACUUGGGGAAGGACCAACUCCUCCAUCUUUCAUUUUUCAUAACAGAUCAGGUUGUAACUCUCAGCUACUGCUCCAGUGCCUGUCUGUAUGCCAAUAUGCUCCCUACCAUGACGAUAAUGGACUAAGCCUCUGAAACUCUACACAAGCCCACAAUUAAAUGCGUUUCUUU